rnacentral:rRNA from 1 species
GAUGAACGCUGACAGAAUGCUUAACACAUGCAAGUCUACUUGAAUUUGGGUUUUUAACUUAGAUUUGGGUGGCGGACGGGUGAGUAACGCGUAAAGAACUUGCCUCACAGCUAGGGACAACAUUUAGAAAUGAAUGCUAAUACCUAAUAUUAUGAUAAUAGGGCAUCCUAUAAUUAUGAAAGCUAUAUGCGCUGUGAGAGAGCUAUGCGUCCCAUUAGCUAGUUGGAGAGGUAACAGCUCACCAAGGCGAUGAUGGGUAGCCGGCCUGAGAGGGUGAUCGGCCACAAGGGGACUGAGACACGGCCCUUACUCCUACGGGAGGCAGCAGUGGGGAAUAUUGGACAAUGGACCGAGAGUCUGAUCCAGCAAUUCUGUGUGCACGAUGAAGUUUUUCGGAAUGUAAAGUGCUUUCAGUUGGGAAGAAAGAAAUGACGGUACCAACAGAAGAAGUGACGGCUAAAUACGUGCCAGCAGCCGCGGUAAUACGUAUGUCACGAGCGUUAUCCGGAUUUAUUGGGCGUAAAGCGCGUCUAGGUGGUUAUAUAAGUCUGAUGUGAAAAUGCAGGGCUCAACUCUGUAUUGCGUUGGAAACUGUAUAACUAGAGUACUGGAGAGGUAAGCGGAACUACAAGUGUAGAGGUGAAAUUCGUAGAUAUUUGUAGGAAUGCCGAUGGGGAAGCCAGCUUACUGGACAGAUACUGACGCUGAAGCGCGAAAGCGUGGGUAGCAGACAGG